UACGUAGGGGGCAAGCGUUGUCCGGAAUUACUGGGCGUAAAGCGCCUGUAGGCGGGAAGUUACGUCGGACGUGAAAGGCGGGGGCUCAACCCCCCGAGCGGCGUUCGAAACGGACUUUCUUGAGGGUCGAAGAGGAGCGUGGAAUUCCCGGUGUAGCGGUGAAAUGCGUAGAGAUCGGGGAGGAACACCCAUGGCGAAGGCAGCGCUCUGGUCGGCAUCUGACGCUGAGAGGCGAAAGCGUGGGGAGCGAACGGG
rnacentral:rRNA from 1 species